GCUUCUCCUAUUGGUUGAUGAAUAAAGCUGUUUCACCCAAUGGAUAGGCAGGAUGCAGCCAGGCAGGGCUGCCAGACUAGGAGAAGGCUAGGAAGAGAAACUCGGAGAGUGGCCAGGGAGACGCCAUGUAGCCGCCGGACAUGGAACUUUACAGGGUCUCACACAUCCUGAGUGGGCCUCAGACUCACUGGGUAGCCAAGGUGGCGCCGUCAAUUUUCUAUUGCCGUGAAGAGACACUAUGACCAAGGAAACUUACGCUUUCUCCACGAAUCUCUCCUCGGCCCCUGGCAACCACAAACUUAGUUUCUGACGCUACAGAUUUGCUUCUUACGGUUCCGGACGGUCCUGGACGUUUUGUGAACGAGAAUUCCUGGACAGAUUCUGCAAAGGCAGCGGCGGUGAUGUGGACGGGUUGGGACCCCGCAGGUCCAGAGCUAGUAGCUACAUCUCAGCUAGCUUUCCCCGCCCUCUUCUGUGUCAAAACUAACAUCCGGUGACUAACAGGUGAAAACCUUUCGGAACGCAUUAACUCAGCAGAUCGCUGGCUUCCACCGACCUCGAAGCUAAGGGUGUCAUCAGAGAGCCCCCGAGGCCUAUAAAGAAAGCUUCUGCACCUUUCUCUUCUAAUCGCCCCUCUGGGGUAUCACCCACCUGCUAGGGCGUGGUCCAAGAAUGGGUCGUGUGAGCAGAAUUCCGAGUGCUUGUGAGGAAACUCCAAGGAAACGGGACGAGUCUUGUGAUCACAGUUUUUUCAAAACAACCGUUCUUGGAAUGUGUUUCCAAUGCCCUUCCUAGGUGUAAGGAUUCAGGUGUUAGGCUGGCCUGCCCCUGUCACCUGGCAGAAUGCACUCAGGCAGCACCCUGGUCAGCCCUGGUGCAAAGGACCCCUCUAAAAGAUCUCAAGCCC